ensembl:lncRNA
GUGGGAGAGGAGGCUGCAGGGUGGAAGAGGCUGCGGGGUGAGGGUGGGAGAGGAGGCUGCAGGGUGGGAGAGGAGGCUGCGGGGUGAGGGUGGGAGAGGAGGCUGCGGGGUGAGGGUGGGAGAGGAGGCUGAGGGGUGGGAGGGAGAGGAGGCUGCGGGGUGAGAGAGGAGGCUGCGGGGUGAGGGUGGGAGAGGAGGCUGCGGGGUGAGAGUGGGAGAGGAGGCUGCGGGGUGAGGGUGGGAGAGGAGGCUGCGGGGUGAGAGUGGGAGAGGAGGCUACAGGGUGAGGGUGGGAGAGGAGGCUGCGGGGUGAGAGUGGGAGAGGAGGCUGCAGGGUGAGGGUGGGAGAGGAGGCUGCGGGGUGAGAGUGGGAGAGGAGGCUGCAGGGUGAGGGUGGGAGAGGAGGCUACAGGGUGAGGGUGGGAGAGGAGGCUACAGGGUGAGGGUGGGAGAGGAGGCUACAGGGUGAGGGUGGGAGUGCAGGGUGAGGGUGGGAGAGGAGGCUGCGGGGUAAGGGGGUCUGUUGGUCUGAGCCUUUCCUGCACACAUUCUGUUCCUCCACAAUCCAGUCCAGUGUCUGCAGCCCAAAUUUCACCCUAUUCCCUACAUAUCACACUACUUUACCCUAUGGGUCCUGGUCAAAUGAAGUGUGCUAUAUAGGGAAUAGGGAAGGGGUUGGCAACCCUGGUCCUGGAGGGCUGCAGGCACUUCAUGUUUUUGAUUUAAC